UCUGUCUUGUUGUUUUCAUUGACUCCAGUGUUUCAGCCUUCACUGUUAGAGAGUCAGUCUUUCCUUUCUUGUAAGCUUGUUUUUGGUGCCGUGCUGAGAAUGAGCUUGUAGCGAUGGGAAGAUCCGAAGCGCGAUAGACUCGUGCUGUUUCUUCAAGUGAUUAGUGCAGUCCGCCUUUAGAAGCUUUGAUUGUGGUUUAGAUAGUGGGCACCGCAGUCAGUUUUAGUAUAGAGCGUGGUUGCAGUCGUGUCAUGGACCGCCUCGUCAUCGCAUCAGGCAUCGUCUUUUUGAGUAGCGCCGAAAGUAGUGCCUGGGAAGUCGAGCGGAUGUCGGCUGUUAUGGUUGAGUUUUGUGGUUGUAAGAAGCUUAAGAAAGGUGGCAGGAGUGUUUUCGGACGCUCAUAAUCCAGAGAAACUUAAGCGAAC
rnacentral:lncRNA from 1 species